CCCAGUCUUUUUUCAGUCUUUCCGUCCAGCUGGCUUCAAGCAUAUUCUGCCCUUCUCCAGGUUUCUUUUUGUCCUUUUCGCCAUCUCCAAAAUGUUUGCUCUGGAAACUUCAGUCUCUAUAAUCGUUAAUUCUUCUCACCAUGGGGCCGACAUGAGCUCUGACCUGACGACGAGGUCGUCUGUGAUCGGGUUCCAUUGGAUCCACAUUUGCUGAAUCAGCGAAAGGAAUUUCGAAGGCUGUGACGAGCAGGAAGACCUGCAGAGUCAGCAGGAGCAGCAGCACAGUUCUGUCCAUGAUGACCUGAAGAGCCUGAAUCCAUCUGUGGUGAGACGCUCAGGUAUCUUUAUAGUCACGGUUCACUGAGCACUUCCGCGCAGAGAAAAGCCAUUAAGAGGGCGUGAGCUGCAUUAAAAUGACCCCUCCACACACAUGUGCUGAUCUCAAAAUGACUUUCAGUUUAAUCUCAACUAGGAAACCUCCAUUGAACUCCAUACUCAAACAUCUCUGCGGCAUAGACCACAUGAUGAAGUGUCCUUGAACUGGACACUGGACACCAAGCUGCUCCCAGUGCUUGGCAAUACUGUGUGAACAUGUGUGCAUUUGUGUAAACGAGCAUGUGACUGUAAAGCGCUUACUGAAUAAAUACAAGAUCAAACUGUUAUGCGUGUCCCAUUCAAGAAAAAAAUAAAUAAAAAUUAUAUAUUUGUUAUGA